GCAGAGGUGAUCAGGUCCUGCCCGGCCUGGGACUUUUUGUCUUGAGGUGGGGAGGAGAGAAAUGGGAAGAGGUGGAGUAGCGGUUUUAGCCCGCUCUGCGGCUGCGAGGUUUAGAUCCGAGAUUAACCUCUCCCGCGAUAGGUGAAGCCCUACCGGAGCAGAAAGCUGUUCCACCUGCACCAAGAAUGCGCGCUGGAGACGGUUGCCCCGGAGGCCCUGGCCCGAGAGAAGACCAGUCCCCGCUGCCCGCGCCUCCCGGUAGCGCGCUCCCUGCGCCUCUCCCGCUGGACACUCAGCAGACGCCGGAGGCCAGGAGGCUAAGACUGGGCGCGUCGCAGGCCGGGACCGCGGCAGAGGCUGCUGUGCCGACCGAGGAGAGGGCUCUGCCGCCCCCACUUGCCCUGGGUGUCGAGAGCCCACUCCAGACGCGGCUCUUCUGAGGCUCAAUUCAAGCCACCCAGGCCUGAAUCCAGGAUGCUCUCUCUAAGUCGGUGUCCAACCCAGGGGCCUGUAAAUGUUGGAACCUAGGAUUUAGGAUGGGAGCGGUGAAGGGAUGGUCCUCUUGCCCAGCCCAGAUUAAGACUGGGGUUCAUCUGGAGGACUCUACUUACACCCUCCCGGUCCCCUCGCCCUCCCCCACACACAGCUGCCUCUCCCCAGGAUAUGCGCGGCACAGUUAAUUUAGUGGCUUUGAAAGGUAUAGUAUUUGUGGCAUCCUUAUAUGGAUAAUGCCCAAUGAUGCCUGCACCCUGUAACAGUUUAGGAAGGCCGGAAGUCGCACACUGGGUCCUGGCUGCUGUAACUGGAGACCCCCAGAAAAUCCCCUGCAAGCAGCCACCAGCCUGCUGUCAAGCCAAUAAUAAAAGCUCAGCACAAACAGAGAUGAAGAAACUCACAUUCAGAAGAGUUAAGAAACUUGCUCAAAUUCAUAAAAUCAAGAGGAGAGGUGGAGCUGUAAUUAAAACCAAGCCUUUGACAAAUCAAGGAAACUUUUCAUGUCGUCACUGCUACCUCAUCUGUGGCCACAAAAUCUCAGUCAAGAUCUAGGGUUGAUGCAAACUGGAGUCAUUCCCAGUAUCCACAACACUUCUCUUGUGUCUUCUGGGAAGCUAAGAUUUCAUCCCUUGAGUUUCAUUGCUGCCUGAAUCUAUUGCAUCUUACUUGAGAGCCUCAUUUAUUCCAUGCUACAAGAUCCAUGCAAGAUUCCAGGAUCACCAAGAUCACUCCAGGAAAUGAAGAGAUCAAGAGAGCUGCCAUGGACAAGUCUCUGCCUCUCUGCUUCAGCUUCUAGUUCCCUCAUAAUAUAGGACAAUUCCUUGUACAAAAUGGGUGCUCCAUAAAUAUUUGUUGAAUGAACUUCUUUUCUAGAUGGUGACGUGAUGGCAACCUUAAAACCUCAUGCCAUUCUUCCUCAUCAUUCUCUGGGUUAAAGAAAGGCCUAAACUUUUCCAGCAAUUGACAGAGCCUUGGUGUGUCAUAUUGCCUCAUUGUGCCUCAGUUGUCCCAUCACUCCCACUUGGGAGAGGAUAUGAAUGAAUGGAUCUUAGUUCUAAAGAGCUGAAGGUGGAAUUCAGUUGCCUGAUUGCUAGCAUAGAUAGUACCUCCAUGUAUGUGCCAUUUCUUUUUUUUUUUUUUGAUUGUUUAGUUCAUUUAUUUGUGUAACCAAUUUUGAUUAAAAGCUGAACACUGUGCUGGAAGCUGAGGCUUUCACUGGUGUAGGGAUGCCAUUUCUGCCCCGUAAGAAUCACAAGGGCUAGAGCAUUGCAGGAGGUCCUUACAGCAACAAUUACCAUGAACUAAGCCUUUGCUUAGUGCAGGCACUGUGUUAAGAGGGAAGUUAGUAAUGUUCUUCCCAUUUUAGAAUUUUGUAAUUAUAAAAAUAUAAUACAGGCUUAAGAAAGAGCAGUUUUAAAUGACAUAAAUAAACCUUUGUUUUAGGGAAA
rnacentral:lncRNA from 1 species